GACGAACGCUGGCGGCGUGCUUAACACAUGCAAGUCGAACGGAAAGGCCCUGCUUUUGUGGGGUGCUCGAGUGGCGAACGGGUGAGUAACACGUGAGUAACCUGCCCUUGACUUUGGGAUAACUUCAGGAAACUGGGGCUAAUAUCGGAUAGGAGCUCCUGCUGCAUGGUGGGGGUUGGAAAGUUUCGGCGGUUGGGGAUGGACUCGCGGCUUAUCAGCUUGUUGGUGGGGUAGUGGCUUACCAAGGCGUUGACGGGUAGCCGGCCUGAGAGGGUGACCGGCCACAUUGGGACUGAGAUACGGCCCAGACUCCUACGGGAGGCAGCAGUGGGGAAUAUUGCACAAUGGGCGGAAGCCUGAUGCAGCAACGCCGCGUGCGGGAUGACGGCCUUCGGGUUGUAAACCGCUUUCGCCUGUGACGAAGCGUGAGUGACGGUAAUGGGUAAAGAAGCACCGGCUAACUACGUG
rnacentral:rRNA from 1 species